UUCCAACAUCAACAGGAAUGUGUGUAAGAUGGCUCACAAUUGGUUACUGCAUAUUCUCCCUGUUGUAUGUUCCUGCCUCUUGUGUUUCAGCCUAGUAGACUGUGCAGUACAAGGGCACCACCUAGUGUCUCUGCAGACUGUGCUCCAGAGAUGCCCUCUUUGCUGCAGGACCUAGAUUAAGUAUCUGCGAGAAGGGACCUGGGAAUACUUUGGAAGUAGUUAAAGUGUUUGUAAUGUCUAAUUUAGUUGUGUUAAGUUAUACCUAUUUCUUAUUUUCCUCUAAUUUGCCACACAACCGCAUCGGUAGAGUGGGAGCAGAGUUGCUCUGCUCUGUCCUACCAUCCUUAGUUAGUCUGAGGAAACUCUGGUGAGGCUUAUGUUGUUGUGAAUUUGGGGGUUGGAAGAGCUUUACAUGGGUUUUGUAGGCCAAAGAUGAAUAUCUUAGGAUGCACAUGAAAAAUAUAAACAUGUUUAUAUUUUUCUCUAGUCUUGAGUCAAAAGAAACAUCUGAAGAUGUGGUAUUGCUCCUUGCCGAGGGGUUGUUGCAGGCUAAAAGCCUUGAGAGCUUCAAGUAAGUGAUUGUCAAUUCUCUAUUCCUACUUAUGUUUCAUUUCUGGCCCUGACUCUGACCUUUCACCACUCCCUCCCUCUUAGUUUUUCUGGUCAUGUGAUCAGUGACAGAGGAGCUGUAGUUCUGACCAGAACACUCCAGAACCUACCAAAUAUCAGAACAAUCAAGUAAUAACUGACACGCUUUGUUUCUCUACAUAUCACCCCUACCUGUAUUCCCCCACCUGGCCAGUGACACAACAAUACUUCUGCGGAUCCCUCUGUCCCCCAGUCUGUCCCUGUGCUCUGGUUGGACAGCUGAAGGAGCAUUGGACCUGGUCAAAGGGCUUGGACAGUGUCUCUCUCUGGAGGGGAUCAGCCUUGACUCUGCACAGCUGGAUCAAGAGAGCACAGUCUCCUUGGCACAGGGACUAUGACCUUCUUGACGAGGCUAAAUCUGAAUAAGUAUGUAACCAUGGUGACUGGAUCCCCAAGGGAGGGGACCACACUGGUCCUACUGGCCUCUCUGGAGGGGCUCAGAGCAAUGGAGGAGAGUUGGAAGGGAUGAGGAUGUCAGAUAAAUGAGUGGAGGAGCUUAUCAAACACCUGCCCAUCUGGACAGGCCUGAGGAAGAUCAGGUAGGCUCCAGGGAUUAUUGAACUGGAGGAAUGUCUAGGGAACAGACUUGGACAAAAAAUAGUCAACAUAACAUGUGUCAAAUUAAGCUAAGACAUGCAUCAGCAAUCUGUCAAAUGAUCCAAUGUUAGAACCUGUCAAAGUACCAGGUAAUAUUCAAAUGGGCUUCAUGGGUACAACUUUGGUGUGUUUAGGAUUAAGGCAGACAUUUUAAAUUUGUCAUCAUGAAAGAGGUACAGUGUAUUCAGACCCCUUGACUUUUUUCACAUUUUGUUACGUUACAGCCUUAUUCUAAUAUGAAUUCAUUUUUGCCCCCCUCAUCAAUCUACACAAAAUACCCCAUAAUGACAAAGCAAUAUCACAUUUACAUAAGUAUUCAGACCCUUUACUCAGUAUUUUGUUGAAGCACCUUUGGAAGCUAUUACAGCCUAGAGUCUUCUUGGGUAUUACGCUACAAGCUUGGAACACCUGUAUUUGGAGUGUUUCUCCCAUUCUACUCUGCAGAUCCUCUCAAACUCUGUCAGAUUUGAUAGGGAGCAUCGCUGCACAACUAUUCUUAUACAUUUUCACACACAAUACAUAGAUUUUUAUGUUGUGUUAUUGACUUGACGUUUGUUUAUGUGUAACUCUGUGUUAUUGUUUUUUUGUCGCACUGCCUUGCUUUAUCUUGGCCAGGUCGCAGUUGUAAAUGACAACUUGUUCUCAACUGGUUGACCUGGUUGGUGAAAUAAAAAAAAUACAAUUUUUAAAUGUUCAGGUCUCUCCAGAGAUGUUCGAUCCGGUUCAAGUCCAAGCUCUGUCUGGGCCACUCAAGGACAUUCAGAGACUUGUCCUGAAGCCACUCCUGCAUUAUCUUGGCUGUGUGCUUAGGGUCAUUGUCCUGUUGGAAGGUCCUGAGCACUCUGGAGCAGGUUUUCAUCAAGGAUCUCUCUGUACUUUGCUCCAUUCAUCUUUCCCUCGAUCCUGACUAGUCCCCACAGCUUGAUGCUGCCACCACCAUGCUUCACCAUAGGGAUGGUGCCAGGUUUCUCCAGACGUGACCCUUGUCAUUCAGGCCAGAGAAUCUUGUUUCUUAUGGUGAGAGUCCUUUAGGUGCCUUUUGGCGUACUCUAAGCGGGCUGUCAUGUGCCUUUUACUGAGGAGUGGCUUCCGUCUGGCCACUCUACCAUAAAGGCCUGCUUGGUGGAGUGCUGCAGAGAUGAUUGUCCUUCUGGAAGGUUCUCCCAUCUCCACAGAGGAACUCUGGAGCUCUGUCAGAGUGACCAUCGGGUUCUUGGUCACCUCCCUUACCAAGGCCCUUCUCCACCGAUUGCUCAGUUUGGCCGGGCGACCAGCUCGGUUCCAAACUUUUUUCAUUUGAGAAUGAUGGAUGCCACUGUGUUCUUGGACCUUCAAUGCUGCAAAAAUGUUUUGGUAUACUUCCCCAGAUCUGUGCCUCUCCUGUCUCAGAGCUCUACGGACAAUUAUUUUGAACUCAUGGUUUUUGCUCUGACAUGCACUGUCAACUGUGGGACCUUAUACAGACAAGUGUGGGCCUUUCUAAAUCAUGUCCAAUCAAUUGAAUUCACCACAGAUGGACUCUAAUCAAGUUGUAGAAACAUCUCAAGGAUGAUCAAUGUAAACAGGAUGCACCUGAGCUCAAGUUCAAGUCGCAUAGAAAAGAGUCUGAAUACUUGUGUAAAUAAGGUAUUUCUGUUCUUUAUUUGUAUUAAAUUUGCUAAAAUGUAUAAAAAACUAUUUUUGAUUUGUCAGUAUUGUGUGUGGAUUGAUGAGGGAAAAAAAUAUUUAAUCCAAUUUAGAAUAAGGCUGUAACGUAACAUAUGUAACAAUAAGCCAAGGGGUCUGAAUACUUUCCGAAAGCACUGUAUAGAGAGGGUUCAAAGUUCUGAUUGGUUUGUAAAGACACCUUUAUUAUACAUUUAAAUUAUACCUUUAUUAUAUUGUCCUCACAAAGUUCAGCUUAUUCUACUUCCUGAACUGGUUCAGAGGAAACAUACUGAUAUCAUGAGCUAUGAUAUGAAGUGAACCUGUUUCUCUCUCAAUCAUUAGAAGAGGAGAGUGUUGACCCAGAUUUCUGUGUAAAACACAGACUGGGGCAUCAUUUAACUUCUUUAUCUUUGUGUGUCAGCCUGUCAUAACUAUAUUGGUGACCAAGCAGGAGAGGGGCUGAUCCAGACCCUGGGUAAGACUGAGAUGUCUUAUUUGAGAUAAUAUUUGAAGAGGUAGGGUUUCAGACAUUUUCGGAAGACGGGCAGGGAUUCUCCUGUAGGGGUGGAACGGCCAAGAGACCAGAGGUGGCUUGGAAAAGUAGAUGGAAAAUGUUUAGUUGAAUUCUGUCAAUCGUAUUAAUGUACUUAUGCUGACUAUCAAUCAGCAAUUGGGGUACUAUCUUUGCUGUGUACAAUGCCAGUAAUACUCAUUUGCUCUCCCUGUUUGACCAGACUGUGGAGGAAUAGUAUCUCUGCCAGUGAUGCCCAGAGACUGAGACAGAGGGAGAAGAGGUUUAACUUCUCCUCCACGUUGCCUAUGAUCUACUCAUUCAGCAGAACAGUCAACUUGCACUUUUAUUUUUAUCAUAUUUUAUGCACUUAGAGACCACAUUUCCUUAAAAUUAUAGCAGGUCAUCAAAUCAAACAAUAAAAUGAUCCUUGUAGGGGGGGCAGUGAACCUUUAUUCCAAACCUGGGAACUGGUCUCUAUCGCUCUUUCUUCCUCUUCCUGGAAAGGUCUGUGUGUUGUCUCUAUCCACUCUCAUAUUUAUUUCUGCAUUGAUUUUGAGUCUGGGAUUCAUUGAUUGCUUAAGGUUUGCAGAAUGAUUUAUUUUUCACAUCUGACUAAAAGGGCCUGUGAGACAAGUCAAUUUGUUCUCUUGAACUGCUGGAUUCUAAUUCUGUCAUUGCUCAUGUUUCAAAUCAAAGUUUAUUUGUCACAUGCGCCGAAUAAAACAGGUGUAAACCUUACAGUGAAAUGCUGACUUACAGGCUCUAACCAAUGGUGCAUUUUAUCUACUAAUUUAUUCCUUAAACUUGUUGUGUUUUGUUUUGUGUGGCAUAUUUCUUGUUUACUUGUUUUUGUAAUGUCAAUUUUGAUGUUUUAUUAUGACAUGCACUGGUCUAAUAAAGUGGGAGACAAGUCUUCUUCUUC